CGUCUAACUAGAGGUUGUGGCCACGUCUUCUUUUUUGCGUUUAUGAACAGUGGGAGAAAGCGAUAAGCCCCGAGCGAUCCGUUCGGCUCCACUCCUCUCUCUUUCCCUUUUCCUCUGCCUCGUGCUCUCCUUUCCUCGCCGCCGCCACCCCAUCCUAGGCGGCUCCUCUCCUCAUCGAACCAGCCGCCUCCUCCCCAUCUUCACGCGUAGCCUCCUCUCCCUCAAGCCCCGCCUCCUUCCCACCGGGCUUCGCCUCUUCGGGCGGCGGGACGCAGUGGCUGUGGUGAUGGCAGAUGGGGCGACAACGGCGGCGCUCCUCCUCUCCCAUGGCGGUCGGCGGCGCUCUGGCCGUGGAGGCCUGCUCCUCAUGCUCCUCGUCUGCCCGCUCCAUCUCUCCGCGGCCGCACCCGAGUCCGAGUGCGCCAAGUUCGCCGGCCCGCGCGCACCUGCACCGGCUCCUCUUCAUCCGACCCGUGCCGCGCUGCGUUCGCCGCGUCGCCUCCUCCUGCGCUACGCCGGCUCCGCCGCCCCAGACCACGCCCCUUCGCAUGCUGCUACAGCGCCCCCCGCGCGGUCGCCGGCUCCCUCCGGCCGGCUCCGCCUCUGCCCGGGGCCGGGUGCUCCUCUCCUCGCGCGCCCUCGCGGUCGCAAGAGGCGGAUAUGUACGGAGGAUCCACGAGCUUGGUGCCAUCCAUCCCGUCCGGCGACGCUCACCCCCUCUCCUCCAACGCGUCGGUGCUUUAUUCACUUGCGUCUUCGCUGCCUCAAGUGCGUAGGUGAUUCUGCAAACCCCUCUCUAAUUUCUCUCUCUCUCUCUCUCUCUCCCUCUCUCUUGAUUCGGUUGUUGCGUUGCAAGAAAUAUUAUUGUGCAGAGGUGGCUGCAGCUAUGCACAUCUGUUUUUGAGGCUGCAGAUGCGACCACCAGCUGUUUGUAUAAAUGCUCAAGGAGGACUGCUCUGGAGAGGACAACACGUGUGUUUGAAAGAGGGAUGGAAAAGAGGGGGCUAGAGUAAGAGAAGAGGAAGGAGUGGAGCCACAUGUUAUUUCUUUGUCCUCUACGUCAUCCCACCAUUAUAGAGAUUUUCUUGGAUGACAUGCCUCCCAUACUCUCGCCCCUUGUGCUCCAUCUGUGUUGGUACCCUUUCAUGGUUUCUUGUCUCCACUUCUUUCAUGAUUCAUUCUUUUCAAAUACUAAUUCAGGUUGUUAUACUAAUUUGAUCGAUGUGGACGGUGUAAUAAUUCAGGUCGUGCAUGACGGUCUGCUGAUUUCCUUGAUGCUUCAUCAGGUUUCACUUUUUUGAUACAUUGAUUGGUUCCCAAUUUGAUGCAAAUAGCCAAAAUGAAUGGAUAUUACUUGUGGUCAGACUAAAUUUUCCGUGUUCUUUGUGUGUGAUUAUGCUCAAGUUUUGGAAAAAUUGGGCUAAGGGGUGAUUGUGCUCAGGUUUUGAUGCAGGUUCUUUUGAAUUCUGAAACUUUGGUUUGGUAUGACAGACAAUGCUAUUAAUAUUUGAACAGACAAUAUAGUUAAUAGAGUCACUUCAUACUAACACGCAAACUCAUUUUGUAUUGCAGUGAGAUUCAGAUAAUUUUAGGAAACACAUGGAAAGGAGUCCAGACGGGCUCGGCGUACAUGGUUUUCAGUUAACGUGUCCUAAUUUUGCAGUGAGUGAUCGACGAAGGAAGCACAAGGAAAAGAGCAAGCCAUGAAAGAUGCAGUGAUUGAUAGAUUGGGCAACUUGUUCCUUUACAAGUGAAAGGUCAUUCUCAGACCGAAAAAGCAGCUGCGUUGUGCGAAUCCCAGAUCUUGUAAUGACCUCGAACUGUAUUUACACCGGCUUAGAGACCCCUCGGCUGGUGAAUCGGUUGUCCAUGGUGCGUCAGCCAUGAAAGAUGCAGAAGAAAAAAUCAUGUUGAUAAAAGCACACACACUCACCAGGUUCAUCAGGUUGCUGUGAGUGUGGCCAUCAUGGCUAUCCCAGCAGCAGGUCCAUUGGUUGCUUCAUUUUCACCUAUAUGAUAGCUCGGGGCAUGCUCACCAGUUGUUCCGUUAAAAUGACAAAACCGACUGAAUUUUAUCUCUUAUAUGUGUUACUAAAUACUAGAGGUGAUUAUUUUCUUUCGGGGGAUUACAGUUUUAUAAGCGUUAUGCUUUUUGAGACUUUGAGGUCCAAACUAAUUAGUCUUUGAGAUCUCAAUGCUUCUAUAUAGAUAUAAUUAGUAUUUCUGACAAUGAGCAUCUCCGAAGCUGCAACCUAUGCUAAAAGUAGUGCUUAUAGCCGUAGUAGGCGAUACAUCAUUACAACUAAUGUGUGACACUUAUUUUGCAACAGCAACAUCCAAGUUUUUCAACAUUUUACAAUCUUACUAAUGUGUGCCACCAAGUUUCUCUAUUUUAGACGGUACUGUCUUGUUACUUCUGAAAAUGGGUGUGUGUUCUGUUUAGCUGACUAUAAUUCGUUGUUGUAGUCGAAGAUGUUCCCAGGCUAGCAUCUGGUUUAGAACUUUACAAUUCACAUCAAUACUGAAUUUGUUUUGCUACUGAAUUUGCAUAUUAUUUCCAAUAUUGCGUCUCAUUGCACUUUGAAAAUACACUGGACUAUCAGUGGCGAUUUAAUUCUGCUUAUUUCUUAGCUACAAUAUUCCAUAGAAAAAACUUGAACUUUAAUAUCUGAGUGAUUAGUGUGCUUUGUAUAUCUGAUGUAUCGGGGAACUCUAAUAUCUGAGUUAUAUAUAUGGUUGUCUGGCAAGAUUGGUUUUCACCUAUCUAGCUCCUCAGCUCAAGGUUUUUAAGACGAUACAUUUCUUGAUACAUCAACUACCCAUAAACAUACCUCAUGUUUGCUUAAAGGACAACUGAUAUCUCAAUCAGCUCACCCUUUUCUGCCAAAAACCUAUCAUCAUGUUCCUUAAAAUAAGUUAUGCUUCUGUUUGUACAUUUGCAGCUUAUGGUGCUGCAUCUUUGGUUCUUUUUAUUCAAUUCAGAGCAGGAGACAAUGCUUUAUAUUGAUUGUUCUGGAUAGGUAUUUAGUCGUAAGAGAUAUCACCUCUGUGUCUCCAAAAAAGCAAAAACAACAAUUCACUGUUGAUUUACUUUGCUAUGAUUGCUCCCAUUAGAUUGUCCUUAAAUCAUGUGCAAAACUGAAGUAUUGUGUUGGCUGACUGUCAGCCUGACAGAUGAGAUGGGAUGAUGAUGCAGAGUGUUAAAAGGCCUAAUGGGUUAUCUCCUUGGUAGAUUAAGUUUGUUGGAUUGGUUUCACGCCAUUGAAAACAGAUGACACCAUGCCUCCCCCAAUUACAUGUGUCGCUUCCAAGUAGGACCCGUUUGCAAGUAAGAAAGUAAUAAUGAAUUUUCUACUCUCUGUUCUCUGCUGAACUUUCUUUUCUUUUGCCAUUUUGGCUGGUAGUCUUUCAUAGAAUUUUGUGAUAUCUACCUGACUCCACAAGGUCAUGCAACAUUAAGAAUUGCUGGGUUUAAAAAAUGCAGGAUGGAAUUUAUUGUUAAUUAAUUAUCUCUAUCUGAAGCAAGACAUUUUUAGUACACUGUUGAAUAGAGUUGAUGUAUCAGCAUGAGUAACAUUGCGGCAUUCUAAGGGUUGGUUCUAGAACCCCACCUAGAAAGCACUGUUUUUCCAGCAACUAUGUGGUUCAUAUGUUGAUGGGAGGAGAACCAGGAGGUAGUGCAAUAUCUUUAUUAGUUAUACUCAGGGAUGCAAAGUCUUCACCUGAUGAUUCCACCCCUUUACAUGACACUGGCUGCGGCACAGUAGAAAGUGUCUCGCCGAUGCUCUUUACGACACCAACUGAUCGAUUAAUGACUGCACUCAUAGAGAACAUAACAAGGUAUUUUAGGAAGUGCUUGGACCGGGUUCAAAUUUUUGACAGUCUUAGGCACAUUUUUUUUACAGUGUUGGUUUCAAGUUUUUUUCCGACACAGUUAAGACUUUCUGAAAUGCAGCCUUGACCUACAUGUGUUCUGUACAAAGCUUGUUUAGUUCUCUAAAACCUGCACAUGUUAGAUACAGUUUGAGCGAACAUGUGCAGAUUUGUGAGGACUAAAAAAACUUUGUCCAGAACAUGUCCGUUGAUAGUAAGAUUGUUUGUGAUAAUGAAAGGAGACAAUGCGUUUGAUAUAGCUUGUCAUGAGAUAAUGAAACAAUAGUGUUUAUUUGGUCACCAGCAAGAUGAUGAUGUGAAACGAACGGCUAUUUGCGCCUUUCAGAGUUUCUACCAUUUAAUAGUUUCCCAUAACAGAAUAUUUGCUAAUAGUUAGACGACCUUGUGAUUUUGUUUCUAUGGGUAAACAAAUAUAAGGUUAAUCAUGUAAGCAUAGCUUGAGCAAGAGCACAUGAGUUAGCUUCUGGAUUGGUAGCUAAAAAUGAGAUACUUAUGGUUGUUGAUGCCUUCCUUUUUUUGUAGUAACAUCCAUGUGUCCAGCAUAUGUAGAACAUUAGAUUUUUCUUGGUUGAUUGUUGUAGUUCGUUCUCAAGGUUUGGAAAGUUCUUUAGCUAUAUUCCUUGUCUCAUGCAAGCAGGAGCAAUAUCUUCUUUAUGCUGUGUGCCGCCAAGUUUCUCUAUUUUAGAUGGUUGUGUCUUUUCGCUUCUAAAAAGGGAUAUGUAUUUUAUUAAUCUGACUAUAAUUUGUGGUAGGUACAUGCUGAAAGAUGUUCUGAGGCUAGCACCUGGUUUAGAAGUUUUGCAAUUCACGACAAUACCUCAUAAUUGUGAUUUGAUGUCCAGAAUGUUAAUUGAAGAAUGAGUCUAUGAACUGAACUGCAUUGUAUUUUGUAAUAUAUCCUUAUAUAUAUAUAUAUAUAUGUGGUGCUUGUGGCGUUUUUUCGUAAUUAUAAGUUUUUAGAACAAUUCGCCUUCUAUCACUUGCGACCUAGACCAUCUUUUUCUGGACUGAUUGAUUCCAGUUUAUUUAUAUUUGUAAAAACCUCAUUGACUCAGGUUUCUUUAUAUUUGUUCAGGUUUCAGUCAACGGAAACAGGACUGCUGUACGCACUUCUUUUACGAAGAUGUACUUGGUGUUGCUUGGUAGGGAGAAAUGAAGUGUGUGCCUCAUUGUGAAUUCUAUCGAGAAGCAACUAUUUUAGUUAUAUGUCAAUUUCUAGGACACACGAGGUCAGCUUAAAUAUGGAAGUCUGCUUACAGUGUUCCCACGCUUAUGCUUCAUCCAGGGGAGUGCUGACAGUGGAUGAUUUUUUUUGUAUAAUUGGUUUGGACAUCAUAAGUACAAUUUAGGCUAUGGAAGUGUGUUGGAUCCCUAUGCUUCAUUUACUA